GCAGAGACUCAAGUGCCCACCUGUACUUUAUUCAAACUUUCCACAAGGCAAAGUUGGAUCUCUAAGGACUUGUCUUUCUCAGCUAAAGGGUUCAUUUUACCUGUAUGGAUGUUAAGAUGGAGGAGACAUCGUAAGUAGGACUCCAACGAUUCUGAAGAAUAUCCAGACAUAUACUACCGUCUGCAUAGACUAGAAAAGGUUCAAGAAGAAUGGCUUAACACAGAAGUUGUACAGCUCUCAGUUUGUCCUAGUACUGCCUGCUCCUGAAAACCCUGGGUACUGACAAACACUACAAUAGCAUCUGACAGCAAACAAGCCUGUAGGAAGGAAUAGGUGAAGCUUGUCACCAACAGCUGCCUGUGGUAUUUAAACUCAAUCCCUGCUUAUUCUUUAACAUCAAGCUUUUCUGUGACAUUGCAACUGCCAUUAAUAGGUUUUAAGGCAAAAAAAAUUAAGCUACCCACAAGUGAACCAAAUACACAAGCCAAGAGCUGUUUACAGGUAAGGCUUCCGCAGAAAGUACCUACAACAGUCAGUGUCUAGUGUUCUAAAGCUCAUGGCAGCUUUAGAAGAACUUUCCCUCAGGGCACUUCACUUACCUGCUACAUUUGAAAGUUUCUAGUAUUCCUUCACAAAGCUAAUAUUUCUUGGAGACAAGGAAUACAGCUCCAACCUUUAAUUACCACAGAAGGGGGUUAAUUAAAUGAUCUGUCACUCUCUAUAGUUGGAAACUAGCACUACAUUUCGAGGUAUGUCAUUCUUACUGGCAUUUUGGGGAAGUGGUAAAAGACAACUGCAUUCAGCAGCAUCACACGUCCAGUGUCCAUACAUACUGCUGUAUAUGCAGUACAGAUGGAUAGAAGUCCAAGGCACUGCUCUUUAAGUACAAAAUAUUAAGGUUUAACAACAGGCAGUUGAGAGAGAAGUGUCUCAAUACUGUGCUGUAACACCUGAAAGGUAAGAGGCUCCUUUUAUUGCCCCUUUCAUUUCAAGCACUGCUCACAUAUUCAUCCUUACCAAACCUACAUAGAACCACACUGGAGUUUUGCUUGCUUAUUAAAUAGUGGAAACUUUGAUAAUAAAUGGACCUUUUUCUACAACACUAUGAAAAGCUAGAACUUGAAAAGCAGCAGCAUUGUGUAAGUACUUACCAUUUGGAUGAAACAUUUUAGAGACAAAUCUAACAGUGGGUGGCUUAUUCGGAUAUUCUUCUGUGAAUUCUAUUGUAAGUUUGAAAGUUCCUGGAGUUGAAAGAGAGA